rnacentral:tRNA from 1 species
GCGUCCUUAGCUCAGCUGGUAGAGCAAAUGACUCUUAAUCAUUAGGUCAGCGGUUCGAGCCCGCUAGGAUGCA